rnacentral:lncRNA from 1 species
AAACCAACAACACAAAACAAAGGUCAAAACCUGAUCUUUUGCAGAAAAAACAAAUCAAAAUCCAGAAUUUCUAAGAAGAACCCAAGAAAUUUCCAGUUUUGAUAGAUCGACUGAGCGAAGAAAAGAGGAGGGAGGGGUCUGAACCAAUUUUGAACUGAACAAACAGGAAGAGAGAAAGAUGGAGAUCAAAUUAAAAGUUGCGAUUGGGAGGGUGAUGGAAAUUUAUCGGCACAGAUGGUAGAACCCUAGAAUCUUCGUAUAAGACCCAGAAAGGGAGCGACAAAC